rnacentral:rRNA from 1 species
UAGGGAAUCUUGGACAAUGGGCGAAAGCCUGAUCCAGCCAUGCCGCGUGAGUGAAGAAGGCCUUAGGGUUGUAAAGCUCUUUUAGCGGGGAAGAUAAUGACGGUACCCGCAGAAUAAGCCCCGGCUAACUUCGUGCCAGCAGCCGCGGUAAUACGAAGGGGGUUAGCGUUGUUCGGAAUUACUGGGCGUAAAGCGCACGUAGGCGGACUAUUAAGUCAGGGGUGAAAUCCCGGGGCUCAACCCCGGAACUGCCUUUGAUACUGGUAGUCUUGAGUUCGAGAGAGGUGAGUGGAAUUCCGAGUGUAGAGGUGAAAUUCGUAGAUGUUCGGAGGAACACCAGUGGCGAAGGCGGCUCACUGGCUCGAUACUGACGCUGAGGUGCGAAAGCGUGGGGAGCAAACAGGAUUAGAUACCCCCGUAGUCC